UUCCUGUAGUAGUCUACAAGCCACUCAAUCACACUGUAGCAUUCAUUCAUUUUGGUGAGACGGUGGUCAAUACUAAUGUCAUUUCAAUCUGAUAAGUGCCGCCAACAGGAUGGACGUAUCUGAUUUCAGUAAGACACUAAACAGAUCUCUGUAGCCUACUGGACAAUAGCAUACAAUGUCAACAGUAUGUCUACAGUAUGUCAACCGUAUGUCAACCGUAUGUCUACAGUACGUCUACAGUAUGUCAACAGUACGUCAACAGUAUGUCUACAGUAUGGCUACAGUAUGUCAACCGUAUGUCUACAAUAUGUCUACAGUAUGUCAACCGUAUGUAUACAGUACGUCUACAGUAUGUCUACAGUAUGUCAACCGUAUGUCUACAGUAUGUCAACAGUACGUCUACAGUACGUCAACAGUAUGUCUACAGUGCGUCUGCAGUACGUCUACAGUAUGUCAACCGUAUGUCUACAGUAUGUCAACCGUAUGUCUACAGUAUGUCAACAGUACGUCUACAGUAUGUCAACCGUAUGUCUACAGUAUGUCAACCGUAUGUCUACAGUAUGUCAACAGUACGUCUACAGUACGUCAACAGUAUGUCUACAGUGCGUCUGCAGUACGUCUACAGUAUGUCAACAGUAUGUCUACAGUACGUCAACAGUACGUCUACAGUAUGUCUACAGUAUAUAUCAACCGUAUGUCUACAGUACGUCUACAGUAUGUCAACCAUAUGUCUACAAUAUGUCUACAGUAUGUCUACAGUAUGUCAACCGUAUGUCUACAGUACGUCUACAGUAUGUCUACAAUAUGUCUACAGUAUGUCAACCGUAUGUCUACAGUACGUCAACCGUAUGUCUACAGUACGUCUACAGUAUGUCAACCGUAUGUCUACAGUAUGUCUACAGUACGUCAACCGUAUGUCUACAGUAUGUCUACAGUAUGUCAACCGUAUGUCUACAGUACGUCUACAGUAUGUCUACAAUAUGUCUACAGUAUGUCUACAGUAUGUCAACCGUAUGUCUACAGUAUGUCAACCGUAUGUCAACCGUAUGUCAACCGUAUGUCUACAGUACGUCUACAGUACGUCUACAGUACGUCUACAGUAUGUCAACCUUAUGUCUACAGUACGUCUACAGUAUGUCAACCGUAUGUCUACAGUAUGUCUACAGUAUGUCAACUGUAUGUCUAGAGUACGUCUACAGUACGUAUACAGUUUGUCUACAGUACGUCUACAGUAUGUCAACAGUAUGUCUACAGUAUGUCUACAGUAUGUCAACCGUAUGUCUACAGUACGUCUACAGUAUGUCAACCGUAUGUCUACAGUACGUCUACAGUAUGUCAACCGUAUGUCUAGAGUACGUCUACAGUAUGUCAACCGUAUGUCUACAGUAUGUCUACAGUAUGUCAACCGUAUGUCUACAGUACGUCUACAGUAUGUCAACCGUAUGUCUACAGUACGUCUACAGUAUGUCAACCGUAUGUCUACAGUACGUCUACAGUAUGUCAACCGUAUGUCUACAGUACGUCUACAGUAUGUCAACCGUAUGUCUAGAGUACGUCUACAGUACGUCUACAGUAUGUCAACCGUAUGUCUACAGUACGUCUACAGUACGUCUACAGUAUGUCAACCGUAUGUCUACAGUACGUCUACCGUAUGUCUACAGUAUGUCUACAGUAUGUCAACCGUAUGUCUACAGUACGUCUACAGUAUGUCAACCGUAUGUCUACAGUAUGUCAACCGUAUGUCUACAGUACGUCUACAGUAUGUCAACCGUAUGUCUACAGUACGUCUACAGUAUGUCUACAGUACGUCUACAGUACGUCUACAGUAUGCAGAAAACAGUAGUAGCUUU
rnacentral:lncRNA from 1 species